AUGCAGGGGGAGGCUGGCCCGAGGCCACGUGCCCGUAGGGAAGACUGUAAGCCAGAGACGGGGCGCAGGGGCGGGGGGCCAGGGCUGCUCGGACCCCCCCAGGGCCGGGCACUCACUAUUCCCUACUGCACCCCUGGCACUGGGCGGGCCCCUCCUCAGGGUGCUGGCACCGCCCGGCAGUCCGUCCUCAGUGAGCAGCGGCUCACUGAAUGCUCGCGUGAUGUUUGUGUAUUACUGUCCUCCCCCUACUUGUUUUCUACGUCCCUGAAGCCUUCCAGGUGGGGGGAGCGGGGUGACGGCACAGCCCUGGGUAAAGCGCAGAUGCCCAAAGCGACCGUGUCCUGUUCUUGAAUCGACUAUAGUUGCCCCCGUGGCCAGGCUCUCCUGGGCCCAGGACCUUUGCACGUACUGCUUCUGGAGCAGCAACGUUCUUCCUGUGGAGUCAAUCCCGCGACAGGCGCCAGCUCCAGGGUCCCUGUGACAUCCCUCCUGGCUAGAUCAGGUGUCCCUCCUUUGUGCCCCCUUCCCUGGUCCCUCUUCCUGUCUUGUAACCACCUGCCUGCUCGUCAGCAAGGGUGCUGCCCCUCCCCCAUCCUUUCACUCCCGACUCCCGACUCCCGAGGAGACUGCGGAUCCGUGAGGGCGGGACCGGAGCCCGGGUCUCGUGUCUGCUCCCCGCGGCGCUGCGACACGGAGCACCCGCCCUCACCUCCUUACCCCACGUCAGCGUCGGAGCGCCUGCCUGAGCCGGGCGGGGCCUCACAGAGCCGCGAGAGCAGGGCGUGUCUGCAUGUGUGUGCACAUGUGCGUGCGUGUGUGUGUGUGUGUGUGGCGUGUAUUUAAACCUGUACGUGCAGACAAAUGCGUGUGUGACAGGCAUGUCCACGCGGCGUGCAAACACUUGGCGUGUGUGUGGCGUCCUCCUGUGGGUGGCGGGAUCCCCGAGCCCCCGAGCCGGUCAGAUGCUCCCAUCAAGUCCGGUCACCCCUGCCUGCCUUCCAGCCACUCCCAGGGAAGGAGGCGGCAUUUCCCCCGAGGCUCUGCUGAUUUUAAAGAAAACGGGGGAGUGAUCUGGGUGCCUGGGGGCUCAG
rnacentral:lncRNA from 1 species